rnacentral:tRNA from 1 species
GGUAGAGUGCUGCAAAUCUCCAGAUGUUGAGGGUCUGGGUUCAAAUCCCAGCUCUGCCA